rnacentral:rRNA from 1 species
CACGUAGGGUGCGAGCGUUGUCCGGAAUUAUUGGGCGUAAAGCGCACGUAGGCGGCUAUCUAAGUCGGAUGUGAAAUCCCUCGGCUUAACCAAGGAAGUGCACCCGAAACUGGAUAGCUUGAGUACAGAAGAGGAUCGCGGAAUUCCCGGUGUAGAGGUGAAAUUCGUAGAUAUCGGGAGGAACACCAGUGGCGAAGGCGGCGAUCUGGGCUGAUACUGACGCUGAGGCGCGAAAGCCAGGGGAGCAAACGGG